GUUCCCCCCCCACUUCCCUGCUGCGGAGCCGUCUCCAAGUGACAGCGGUGAGCGGAUUAAUUAAGCUGCCUGUCAGCCCUUGGCAGCCGGCAGCUCUGCCACGCCAGCGCUAAUUAAACCCAACAAAACCUACCUUUAUCUCCAAACCCUGCCGCGGGCUGGGAUAAGGCAGGAGGCCACCGGGAGCUGAGCUCAGGCUGAGUUCAUCGUGCCCAAGAGCCUGGCACUCACCCCCGAGCACAGGAGAGGGUUGGGAAUGCGGAUCCCACGCCCUGACAGGCAGCUUUUCCCAGCCCGGACUCCUCGUGUCCCGAGCGUGCGGGAGUUUCACGGCCCAUUAGGAUGCGGGAAUGACGUCCCCAUGGCCGGGUCACCGCUCGGGGCUGCCGAGCAGAGGGCAGUGAAUUAUGAGCAGCCUCGGGCCAGGCUGCAGCCUCCAGCGAGGAUGGGAUCGCUCAGGAUGCAGCAUUCCUGGAGAUGUUGGGAUGUCGGGAUGCUGGGACCCCGGUCCCGGGUUGCUGCCUGUCCCGGGGGACCACCCCUGCGGACCUGGGCUGGGGAUUUGCCGCUCUCACGGGAUUUUUCUGCUUGUACAGGGGCAGCCCCUAAACCCCCCUCAGUCCCUGGCACCGCUCAGCCCCCUCCUUAAUUAAUUUUGCAGACUCCACAGCCGGAUUUGAUGAAAAACAUCCCACAAAAAGCCAAUGAACAAGUCACCGAGCAGCACUGCGGCCUCUUCUAAUGAUAUUUUCUUUGUGGUUUUGGUUUGGAAUAUCUUCCUCUGAACUGAAGGAAGCCGCCUGCCUCUUGGACUGCAACGAUUUGACUUUAUCCCUUCAUUUUCUCUCGUUCCUAAACGCUCAGUUCCGGCACUUGGGACUCAACAGGGGUUUGAAAUUGGCCGUGGCAGAGAAGGAUGUUGACCCCUUUCCUUUCCCUGCCUCCCUCCUGCCCAUCCUUGCACCAUCCUUGUUUGUGCCACUGCUGAUGCAUCCCCAUCCCAAAUUCCUUGGGAUUUCACAAAGCCCAGCUCAUCCCACGUGUGGCUCUUUGCAGGGACCUUCUGCUGUCACCAAGAAGGAUUUGUCCCAUCUCCAGCUGGGACACAACAUCCGUGUCCAGCAGCACUUUCAGCAGGUGAAGCUGCAUCCUCUGGGAAAGGUCUUUUAUCCAAAGGGAUAUGUGGGAGCCAGCCCCAGGCGUGUUCCUUCCCUGGACCAUCCCAGCUCCCUCCAGCAUGGUUGUAUUUUAUCUGUGGAGCUCUGGAAGGAUUUUGUUCCGUCAUCCCGGAAUUUUUAUGACUCCUUUGUGUGUAUAUAAUGCGAUUGCCCUGGAACAGAGGGAAAUUAAUCAUAGUUCCUUUGUUAGUUUUCAGGAAUUUUUAAUGUCUAUGUUUUUGUUCAUCUGUCAUGUCCGAAUGUGGGGUCCAUGGGCUAUUUGACAUUUCCAAUGACUUAAUUGCUUAGACUUUCCCCCUCGGUGUUUACGGACACUUGUUCCUCAUGGAUUUCGUGUGUGACAUUCCGUACCAUGGAUUUCCCGCCUGGUUCCAAUUUCUCACUCCAUCCCAGCGGUUCACAACAUCCCCUCCGGAUCCUGUGUCCCAGCCCCCUCACAUCCCGUGUGUUGGGAGUCCCCCCAGCCUGCAGCACAUCCCUCCCUGUGUCAGGGCCACGGGAAUCCGGGGCUGUCUGGGGCUUUUUCAGGAUGUCACACAAGGAACGUGCCCGAGGUGUCACUGCACGGUGUCCGGUGCCCAGGCUGAGAGCACAAAACACGGGAAGAGCGAAGGGGAAUCUCCUGGAUCAGCCUGCAAACAUCCAGCGUGGAGACGCUUUAAAUCCGAGUGGAUCAAGGGUGGCUUGACUGGUCAAGGAGAGGCAGCCAAGCCAAACAGAAGCGACUCCCAAACCUCCUCCACGAGCCAGAGGCUCCCAGUUACACUCUGGAUUUCGUGAUUUUGGUGCUGAUCCCAACCCAGUUAGAGACAGCAGGGUGAGGUGUGGGGAUCAUGGAAUAUUCGCUGGAUCCCACAGGGAUCGUCGAGUCAGGACAACCCCAACAAUCCCACCGUGACAACCAGGCAGGCUGACAUUCUGGGCUCUGAGCAAACACCAGGGGAUAGAUGGAAGCUGCCUAUCACCAGCCAUGUUACACAAGUCAUUAGCAGAACGUUAAUUAAAACAAAAGAUGCAAAUUG